rnacentral:pre_miRNA from 1 species
AAUAAGAUCAUUUUUUAGAUUUUUGAUAUAAUGUUUUGACUCUUCGUCUUAUUUGAAAUUUUUUAUGAUUAAUAUUUGUUUUUUUACUAGAUGAUAAAACAUGAAUAGUACUUUAUGCGUGACUAUUUUUUUAGGUUUUUGCAUAAAUCUUUCAAAUAAGACGAAUGAUCAAACGUUAGGCACGGAAAAACA